rnacentral:miRNA from 1 species
UAUCGCAGAUUCGAUUCGACAA